AGAUCGAUUGGGGAGAUUCAUCGUCAGCGGCGUUGGCUUUCGUGUGGUUUGCGAUGUUUGCGGUCGUCCUUUGUGAUUUUCCGCCGACACGCUUCCGCUGCGGUAUGUCCGGCGACGUCGGCGUGCACUUCUCCCCUAGUAGAACGUCGCGACCCGCUGGGUGUCGGUCUACGAGCUGGAAUGUUUGACUGUACCGUCGCCUUGGCGCACGGCGGCAGGCAUCCGGUUAUCACCGACCGACUGCCCGGCGGUACACGCACGGUAUCGAGCCGCACACGAACUGCGUUCAGGCCCGUCGCAAGCUCGACCAUUAGCGUUAUCCGGAGGUGCGGACCUAGCGCCGUCCCCGGGCCUGGUCAGCUGUUGGCAGACGGUGUUCUCGAACAGGCCCAUUAGAAUAAUUAUGAUACCGGUCGGCGACGCUUUUGCUUUGGGUACUUUCAGGACCCGUCUUGAAACACGGACCAAGGAGUCUAACAUGUGCGCGAGUCAUUGGGACUGGAAAGCCUAAAGGCGCAUUGAAAGAGAAGGUCGGCCUCGCGUCGACCGAGGGAGGAUGAGCCGCGUCACGAUGCGGCUUCGCACUCCCGGGGCGUCUCGCACUCAUUGCGAGUUGAGGCGCACCCAGAGCGUACACGUUGGGACCCGAAAGAUGGUGAACUAUGCCUGGUCAGGACGAAGUCAGGGGAAACCCUGAUGGAGGUCCGUAGCGAUUCUGACGUGCAAAUCGAUCGUCGGAACUGG
rnacentral:rRNA from 1 species